rnacentral:misc_RNA from 1 species
GAUGAAGAACGCAGCGAAAUGCGAUAAGUAGUGUGAAUUGCAGAAUUCAGUGAAUCAUCGAAUCUUUGAACGCACAUUGCGCCCCUUGGUAUUCCAUGGGGCAUGCCUGUUCGAGCGUCAUUUGUACCUUCAAGCUCUGCUUGGUGUUGGGUGUUUGUCUCGCCUCUGCGUGUAGACUCGCCUUAAAACAAUUGGCAGCCGGCGUAUUGAUUUCGGAGCGCAGUACAUCUCGCGCUUUGCACUCAUAACGACGACGUCCAAAAGUACAUUUUUACACUCUUGACCUCGGAUCAGGUAGGGAUACCCGCUGAACUUAAGCAUAUCAAUAAACGGAGGA